rnacentral:miRNA from 1 species
GUUCAACCCCGGGGUUGAAAAUUUCAACCCUGCUAGCUGAAGCAAGGUUGAAAUUUCAACCCCGGGGUUGAAC